AGAGUUUGAUCAUGGCUCAGAUUGAACGCUGGCGGCAGGCUUAACACAUGCAAGUCGAGCGGAGACUUCGGUCUUAGCGGCGAACGGGUGAGGAAUGCCUGGGAAUCUGCCUGUUAGUGGGGGAUAACGUUCCGAAAGGAGCGCUAAUACCGCAUACGUCCUACGGGAGAAAGCAGGGGACCUUCGGGCCUUGCGCUAACAGAUGAGCCCAGGUCGGAUUAGCUAGUUGGUGAGGUAAAGGCUCACCAAGGCGACGAUCCGUAGCGGGUCUGAGAGGAUGAUCCGCCACACUGGGACUGAGACACGGCCCAGACUCCUACGGGAGGCAGCAGUGGGGAAUUUUGGACAAUGGGCGCAAGCCUGAUCCAGCCAUGCCGCGUGAGUGAAGAAGGCCUUCGGGUUGUAAAGCUCUUUCGGUGGGGAAGAAAUUGCACAGGAUAAUACCUUGUGUAGAUGACGGUACCCGCAUAAGAAGCACCGGCUAACUACGUG
rnacentral:rRNA from 1 species